rnacentral:rRNA from 1 species
ACUACGGGUGGCAGCAGUGAGGAAUAUUGGUCAAUGGGCGGAAGCCUGAACCAGCCAAGUAGCGUGCAGGAUGACGGCCCUACGGGUUGUAAACUGCUUUUAUACGGGAAUAACGCGCCUUACGUGUAGGGCUUUGCAUGUACCGUAUGAAUAAGGACCGGCUAAUUCCGUGCCAGCAGCCGCGGUAAUACGGAAGGUCCGGGCGUUAUCCGGAUUUAUUGGGUUUAAAGGGAGCGUAGGCCGCAUGUCAAGCGUGCUGUGAAAUGUCCGGGUUCAACCCGGGCCUUGCAGCGCGAACUGGCGUGCUUGAGUCCGCGGAAAGCAGGCGGAAUUCGUCGUGUAGUGGUGAAAUGCUUAGAUAUGACGAAGAACCCCGAUUGCGAAGGCAGCUUGCUGCAGCGGAACUGACGCUGAUGCUCGAAAGCGCGGGUAUCGAACAGGAUUAGAUACCCCAGUAGUC